rnacentral:misc_RNA from 1 species
AUUAAGAUGAAAAAAACUGCCAUCUGAAUCGAUAAGCCGAUAUUGUACAUACAAUCAUUGAAAUACGCAAGGCAGUAACAUUGGACUUUCAAAGGUGAUUGACAUCCCAUAUUAAGAACUGGACAGAGAACUCGCACCUUGGACGGCAGAUUUUAAUUAUAACAGUUUUUACAUCAUUUACAAUCAUUAGAUGGCUAAGCAUUUGAAGCCUUCUCCACAGGAUGAGAUUCAGCACCAUCUGCCAAUUUUGCACGCUUCGCUUCAUAAUCUUUAAUAGCAGCCUUGAUAGCGUCCUCAGCAAGCAUGCUGCAGUGCAACUUAACAGGCGGUAGGGAGAGAUGUUUUGCAAUUUCCGAAUUUUUUAUGGUUAAGGCUUCUUCCAUUUGCUUCCCUUUCACCAUUUCUGUAGCCAACGACGAGGAAGCAAUUGCAGAACCGCAACCGAACGUCUUGAAGCAAGCAUCUACAACCUUACCAGUCUUCUCAUCAACCUUGAUCUGAAGCUUCAUAACAUCGCCACAGGCGGGCGCGCCGACGAGGCCGGUGCCGACCGUCGGAUCGUUCUUAUCAAACGAUCCAACAUUCCGAGGGUUGUUGUAGUGAUCAAUAACCCUCUCGUGGUAGAAACGCGGGACGAUUUGAACCGCCGGUGACGGCAAAUCCCUAGACGCAAUCCCUAGAAGCCUCUUUGAACUCAACCUCAACAUUUUCACCGCCUUCGUUUCUCUCCUGGAUUUCGG